UGCAAGUCGAGCGAACAGACGAGGAGCUUGCUCCUCUGACGUUAGCGGCGGACGGGUGAGUAACACGUGGGUAACCUACCUAUAAGACUGGGAUAACUCCGGGAAACCGGAGCUAAUACCGGAUAAUAUUUUGAACCGCAUGGUUCAAAAGUGAAAGAUGGUUUUGCUAUCACUUAUAGAUGGACCCGCGCCGUAUUAGCUAGUUGGUAAGGUAACGGCUUACCAAGGCGACGAUACGUAGCCGACCUGAGAGGGUGAUCGGCCACACUGGAACUGAGACACGGUCCAGACUCCUACGGGAGGCAGCAGUAGGGAAUCUUCCGCAAUGGGCGAAAGCCUGACGGAGCAACGCCGCGUGAGUGAUGAAGGUCUUCGGAUCGUAAAACUCUGUUAUUAGGGAAGAACAUACGUGUAAGUAACUGUGCACGUCUUGACGGUACCUAAUCAGAAAGCCACGGCUAACUACGUGCCAGCAGCCGCGGUAAUACGUAGGUGGCAAGCGUUAUCCGGAAUUAUUGGGCGUAAAGCGCGCGUAGGCGGUUUUUUAAGUCUGAUGUGAAAGCCCACGGCUCAACCGUGGAGGGUCAUUGGAAACUGGAAAACUUGAGUGCAGAAGAGGAAAGUGGAAUUCCAUGUGUAGCGGUGAAAUGCGCAGAGAUAUGGAGGAACACCAGUGGCGAAGGCGACUUUCUGGUCUGUAACUGACGCUGAUGUGCGAAAGCGUGGGGAUCAAACAGGAUUAGAUACCCUGGUAGUCCACGCCGUAAACGAUGAGUGCUAAGUGUUAGGGGGUUUCCGCCCCUUAGUGCUGCAGCUAACGCAUUAAGCACUCCGCCUGGGGAGUACGACCGCAAGGUUGAAACUCAAAGGAAUUGACGGGGACCCGCACAAGCGGUGGAGCAUGUGGUUUAAUUCGAAGCAACGCGAAGAACCUUACCAAAUCUUGACAUCCUUUGACAACUCUAGAGAUAGAGCUUUCCCCUUCGGGGGACAAAGUGACAGGUGGUGCAUGGUUGUCGUCAGCUCGUGUCGUGAGAUGUUGGGUUAAGUCCCGCAACGAGCGCAACCCUUAAGCUUAGUUGCCAUCAUUUAGUUGGGCACUCUAAGUUGACUGCCGGUGACAAACCGGAGGAAGGUGGGGAUGACGUCAAAUCAUCAUGCCCCUUAUGAUUUGGGCUACACACGUGCUACAAUGGACAAUACAAAGGGUAGCGAAACCGCGAGGUCAAGCAAAUCCCAUAAAGUUGUUCUCAGUUCGGAUUGUAGUCUGCAACUCGACUACA
rnacentral:rRNA from 1 species